rnacentral:lncRNA from 1 species
AUAUUUUUUUGCCGUCAUUCAUUUGUUCGCCGUCUGCAGUUAACGGCAAAAUAUGUCUUUGCCGUCUACCCUGAUGAAAUGCUGACGGCAAAGAAUUACCCUAACGGCAAAUUAUCAAUUUCCUGUAGUGUAAUGAGCCUUGUCGCAUCGAUCUUUCUAUUUGGUAAUAACUAUAUGGGCUUAUGUAGUGGUGAUAGUUGGUACUAAGAUCAACGACUAGAGAUUCGUUGGGUGAUGGCUUUUAUCUUGAUCGGGUUGGUUGGUGAUGAUCGGCACAUGGAUGUGUACAAAUUUCAUGGUCUAGUUUACUAAUAUGUACAUACACCAGUUAGCUAUCUCAUGUGUAUCAAUUUUAUAUGGUGAUUUUGGCAAAUAAAAGCUCCUUCUAUUGGAAGAAAUAUCAGCUAACUGGUUUGAAAUGUGUGCAUCUUGCGGCGCAAAGGUCGGGCAUGAACCCAUUGUAGUUGUAUGGUCAAUGUUUCAAUCAAUUGCUUUUAUCAGAAUAGUUAGGCCCUUUCUGUCUCAAUGCAUCAAAAGAGAUACAUGAUCUGUGCCACACGUAGAUAAUUUAUAAUAACACUUGAUUGUACUGAAAAGAUUUUCUGCAGUACUCCUGUAAGGAGCGCACAUUAUGAUGACGAGUGUCAUGCCAAAGCUAUUUAAGCCACCAUGAAUCUAGCACUUGCCCAUGCUUCCAUCCCUAGCAAUUCUGCUAGCAGCACUAUACUCAUGACGUGAAUGUCUUUUGGUAUACGGGACACUGGAUCUAUCUACUCGAGUUAUAAAGAACAAACAUAUAUAUAUUGGUAGGCCACUAAUGGGGACGGGGCCUUUAGCCUCGGCCCGUAAGGGGC